AUGUGGGCUCUUUUCCACGCGGACAGCACCUGCUGUCCGCCAGCUGAGAGCACCGUGACACUGCUGUUUCUUACAAUGGAUGGACAUAGAAUGGAAGCAAUAAGAGAAGAUGGAGCCACACAUCUAAAUGCGGUCUCCAAGGCUAAGUCCCAGAACUGUGAGAUCGGCUGUCAGACGAUGCCUACCAUGUUAAAGAGCUGCAAGUGGAGGAGUCAGACGCCGUACAGCAUGAGCACUUUCUCCCAGUUCUUCUUGGAUAAUUCAAUAACUGGUCUCACGUCCUGCCUUUGGACCUGGAGGCCAAGCCUGAUUCUGCAGCCAGGUCUGAUGUUGACCAUGAGAAAAGAACACUUCUCCUCACUACUUCCCACUUCCAGUGGAUAA
rnacentral:lncRNA from 1 species